rnacentral:lncRNA from 1 species
CUUCACGCGGGGGAGCCCCAGGGCUGUGUGCUGACGGGGGACCACGGCCUCGCGCUGCCGGCGCGGCUGCAAGCUGGGGGACCACCCUUACUAACGCGCUCCAACGCUCUGCUCGCUCCUCGCGUGUUUGGAUGCUCUCCCCACCCCUCACCUUGGGCCAUAGCUCGGCAAGGUGAAAGUCUCCCUGCCAGCCCCCUGCCACGGCCCACCGCAGCCAAGAACGCAUGCCGGGCAAGUCCCCGGCCUUCUUUCCUCUGCAACGCGGGCUGCAAGAAGUUAAUUUAUUUUUGGAAAAGCAGCUCUCAGAGUUUGUCUAAUUCCAUCCGCACCAGCUCCUUUCACUCUAUUUUAAACCAGUUCUUACUGUGCUUCAAGUUUAUAAAAACAAUCACUGCUCCCUGAUAAAAGCAGCCCUAAUCCUCGGAGAAAGCAACGAGUCACAAAAGCCGCAUCUCCUCCAGGAAACUCUAGCUCAGCUGAAAAGUUCACAGAGGUAGCUUUGGUAUUCAGUUCUCUACCUGAUCAUUCAAAGUGGAGCAGCCAGAAUCUGGAUCAGUCCCUUCAGACACGGUGAUGAAUGGUGUGAUCAAGCAGGAUCGCUUGGACCAGAAAAGUACACCAAGUGGAAAUGAAGAAGAAAAGGCACCCAAAGAAAAGGCUGCCAGUGAAGUGAGAGAUAGCACCAAGCUCCAGCCACCACCCUUUGCGGAGAGGAAGAACGUUUUACAGCUACGGCUUCAGCAGAGAAGGACCCGUGAACAGCUGGCAGACCAGGGCAUUAUGCCACGUGAGUAUCUUUUUCUGCUUUUUUCACCCAAUCCUGGCUCAGAGGGGCUGUG